rnacentral:rRNA from 1 species
GACGAACGCUGGCGGCGUGCUUAACACAUGCAAGUCGAGCGGUAAGGCCCUUUCGGGGGUACACGAGCGGCGAACGGGUGAGUAACACGUGGGUGACCUGCCCUUAGCUCUGGGAUAAGCCUGGGAAACUGGGUCUAAUACCGGAUACGACCUCAUGACUCAUGUUGUGGGGUGGAAAGCCUUGUGCGGCUAGGGAUGGGCCCGCGGUCUAUCAGCUUGUUGGUGGGGUAAUUGCCUACCAAGGCGACGACGGGUAGCCGGCCUGAGAGGGCGACCGGCCACACUGGGACUGAGACACGGCCCAGACUCCUACGGGAGGCAGCAGUGGGGAAUCUUGCGCAAUGGGCGAAAGCCUGACGCAGCGACGCCGCGUGAGGGAUGACGGCCUGG